rnacentral:rRNA from 1 species
AUAGCUGGUUCUCCCCGAAAGCUAUUUAGGUAGCGCCUCGUGAAUUCAUCUCCGGGGGUAGAGCACUGUUUCGGCAAGGGGGUCAUCCCGACUUACCAACCCGAUGCAAACUGCGAAUACCGGAGAAUGUUAUCACGGGAGACACACGGCGGGUGCUAACGUCCGUCGUGAAGAGGGAAACAACCCAGACCGCCAGCUAAGGUCCCAAAGUCAUGGUUAAGUGGGAAACGAUGUGGGAAGGCCCAGACAGCCAGGAUGUUGGCUUAGAAGCAGCCAUCAUUUAAAGAAAGCGUAAUAGCUCACUGGUCGAGUCGGCCUGCGCGGAAGAUGUAACGGGGCUAAACCAUGCACCGAAGCUGCGGCAGCGACACUAUGUGUUGUUGGGUAGGGGAGCGUUCUGUAAGCCUGUGAAGGUGGCCUGUGAGGGUUGCUGGAGGUAUCAGAAGUGCGAAUGCUGACAUAAGUAACGAUAAAGCGGGUGAAAAGCCCGCUCGCCGGAAGACCAAGGGUUCCUGUCCAACGUUAAUCGGGGCAGGGUGAGUCGACCCCUAAGGCGAGGCCGAAAGGCGUAGUCGAUGGGAAACAGGUUAAUAUUCCUGUACUUGGUGUUACUGCGAAGGGGGGACGGAGAAGGCUAUGUUGGCCGGGCGACGGUUGUCCCGGUUUAAGCGUGUAGGCUGGUUUUCCAGGCAAAUCCGGAAAAUCAAGGCUGAGGCGUGAUGACGAGGCACUACGGUGCUGAAGCGACAAAUGCCCUGCUUCCAGGAAAAGCCUCUAAGCAUCAGGUAACAUCAAAUCGUACCCCAAACCGACACAGGUGGUCAGGUAGAGAAUACCAAGGCGCUUGAGAGAACUCGGGUGAAGGAACUAGGCAAAAUGGUGCCGUAACUUCGGGAGAAGGCACGCUGAUAUGUAGGUGAAGCGACUUGCUCGUGGAGCUGAAAUCAGUCGAAGAUACCAGCUGGCUGCAACUGUUUAUUAAAAACACAGCACUGUGCAAACACGAAAGUGGACGUAUACGGUGUGACGCCUGCCCGGUGCCGGAAGGUUAAUUGAUGGGGUUAGCGGUAACGCGAAGCUCUUGAUCGAAGCCCCGGUAAACGGCGGCCGUAACUAUAACGGUCCUAAGGUAGCGAAAUUCCUUGUCGGGUAAGUUCCGACCUGCACGAAUGGCGUAAUGAUGGCCAGGCUGUCUCCACCCGAGACUCAGUGAAAUUGAACUCGCUGUGAAGAUGCAGUGUACCCGCGGCAAGACGGAAAGACCCCGUGAACCUUUACUAUAGCUUGACACUGAACAUUGAGCCUUGAUGUGUAGGAUAGGUGGGAGGCUUUGAAGUGUGGACGCCAGUCUGCAUGGAGCCGACCUUGAAAUACCACCCUUUAAUGUUUGAUGUUCUAACGUGGGCCCCUUACCGGGGUUGCGGACAGUGUCUGGUGGGUAGUUUGACUGGGGCGGUCUCCUCCUAAAGAGUAACGGAGGAGCACGAAGGUUGGCUAAUCCUGGUCGGACAUCAGGAGGUUAGUGCAAUGGCAUAAGCCAGCUUGACUGCGAGCGUGACGGCGCGAGCAGGUGCGAAAGCAGGUCAUAGUGAUCCGGUGGUUCUGAAUGGAAGGGCCAUCGCUCAACGGAUAAAAGGUACUCCGGGGAUAACAGGCUGAUACCGCCCAAGAGUUCAUAUCGACGGCGGUGUUUGGCACCUCGAUGUCGGCUCAUCACAUCCUGGGGCUGAAGUAGGUCCCAAGGGUAUGGCUGUUCGCCAUUUAAAGUGGUACGCGAGCUGGGUUUAGAACGUCGUGAGACAGUUCGGUCCCUAUCUGCCGUGGGCGCUGGAGAACUGAGGGGGGCUGCUCCUAGUACGAGAGGACCGGAGUGGACGCAUCACUGGUGUUCGGGUUGUCAUGCCAAUGGCACUGCCCGGUAGCUAAAUGCGGAAGAGAUAAGUGCUGAAAGCAUCUAAGCACGAAACUUGCCCCGAGAUGAGUUCUCCCUGACUCCUUGAGAGUCCUGAAGGAACGUUGAAGACGACGACGUUGAUAGGCCGGGUGUGUAAGCGCAGCGAUGCGUUGAGCUAACCGGUACUAAUGAACCGUGAGGCUUAACCUUACAACGCCGAAG